GCGUGUAUGGAGAUUUAUAUAAUGAGAAAAUGUGUUAAUGUGUUUUUGGAACACUGAAGCAUGUAGUACACUUUCAAAAUAAAAUUAUGAACAGCGAAAAUGAGCACAAUAGUUCUUUAUUUUCACAAAAGGCAAACAUGAAUAAAUGCAGUGUUAUUUGCUUAGAAGCUCGGGAUACGUCAUCUGCAGGGUGAAGGUAGGCAUGUUCCUACCUUCCUCCAUCUCCAAAUGCUGCUCUGCAGAGAUCUCUGGGAAGCUGCUUCACUUAACACCGGCGGAAAGCGGCCGUGAGCCAAACGUCGUGAGAAGCGUGAAGUGAAACCUGAGUCGGAGAGGUGGUAGCGCUACGCAUCGGGUAAGGACGCCCUGUGUUGAACGAAAUUUCGAUGCAUUACUUACUAAAACAUUUUUACGUGACAUUUGGGCAUUGUCGUGGUCAUUUUUGAUUUAAUUUCACAGGCUUCUUUAUGCACAAGAAUAAUCUUUUAAGUUGUUGAGGCAUGACUGGCAUCGCGUUCAUAAAGUUUCCUGCCCUGUGACUUAUGCUUCCUGGGACAAGCUCCAGAUUCACAGUAACUCGGCUGCAAUGGAUUGGUGUUUAUAAUAGAUGGAUGGAUGGACAGAAAUACGUUUAUUGUGUAGGUACAUGACUUUGAACAUCGUCCACUAGAGGGAGUACACACGCUUCCAAGCUGCACGAAAUGCCAGAGUCAGAGUGAGACUGUGAAAUCGAUUACUGCAUUAAUAAAUCACCCCCCCCCCCACACACACACACACACACAGAAACACGGGGGAGGCCUUUCAUGUGGAGAGAUUUCCAAUGCCAUUAUAACCAAACAUUCAUCGUCCGCAAAUGCAAACAGCAUAGAUCUCCCUCUCCUUUAGGGUUCUGACCGCUAUACCAAAAUAAACCAAAAAAAUAUAUAUUCUUACACAAGGAAACAAUUAGAUUUCGAAGGAAACCACUACGUCGGUUAGGUAUAUUGUACAAGAACUUCAGAAUAUCACUUAUUUUGUCGCUCUCUGUCUCUCUUCCUCUUUAAGGUUAAGUCAGUAGCGCGGUCUCUCUUAGUCCCAGUAAAGUGUGCAGCAAGCUGCUUUCCUACACCCCCACGCUGCACCCUCUACCAGUACUGGAGGUGCCCGUGCAGAGCGAGCCCUCGUGUGCUGCAGCACCUCUCUAAUGAGCACGCUCACACAGAAACCUUUGUCUUCUUGUCUCCGAGCCGUCGUUGAUCUCGCGGUGGGGCAGGAGGACGCUGCACGUGCUUCCUCACAGCCACAUCUGAUGCAAGUGCACUUGUGGAUGCCCCUAGAGAGAGAAAAAGCAGAAAGCUGCAGGUAGUGCAGCUUUUCUUGGUGAGGGUCCCCAUGGCAGCAUGCUGAGUAGGUCAAGAUGGUGUUCUUCAUCCAUGGCCAACUAACUCAUUCAGGGGAAUCACCGGAUAUUCUCAGGCCAGACAUACUCCCUCCAGCAUGUCCUGGAUUUUAUACCCCCCAACCCUACACACCCUGGGACAUCUCCCUUAUUAUCUGAGCAGGUGGUUUCCUUAAAAAGAUGCCCAAACCACCUCAGCUGGCUCUGAAGGAGCAGAAGCUCUGUUUCAAGGUUCCUCCAUAUCUCCAAACUCUUCACCCCGUGGAGACUGAGCCCAGCAAUCUUACAGAGAAGCCUUAUUUUGGCAGUCUUGUUCUUUCGGUAAUUACCCACAGGUCAUGGACAUAGGUGAGCAGAAGGAUAUAGAUUGACAGAUAAAUCAUGGGCCUUGUCUGAUGGCUUCACCACCCUGGACCCCCACAGUGCCCACAGGACUGCAGUCACCCAGCCGAUCCUCCUGUCAAUCUCUCAUUUCCCACCAAGAUCUCAAGGCCCUUUUAACCUCCUCCACUGAGGGCACACACGCCCCCAUAUCUGAAAGGAGAAAUCCAGACUUUUCUGAGAGAGCGCCAUGGCCUCAGAUUUGGAGAUUCUGAUACUCAUCUCCGACACGUUCCACACAGGCCAGGCCAGAAGACGGGUGGAGUCUCCUCCUGACUUUGCCAAGGAGGCUGGAAAGCGUGACCCCUUAUAGUUGGAUCAAACGCUCUGGUCCCCCUUUUUAAAAAUAGAGGCCACCAUCUCUGUCUGCUAGUUCAAGGGUAUUAUACACACAUGCCAUGCAGCACUGAAGAGGCACAUCAACCACGUUACCGCAGUAGCAUUCAGUGAUUUAAACAUCCCUGGACGGAUUUCAUCUCUGCCUGCAGCUCUUCCACUAUGGAGGUCUCUGACCACCACAGCAGCAGCUCUACUGACACACUCUAAUACUCCAGAAGUUUCCAGCACUGCCUCUUUGUGUGAGGGCAUAUCCACCUGGUUCAGAGGUAUUCUUUCCCUCUGCAGCUGAACUCAGAUCAAGGAAGAGUCCCUGCCACCCCCUCCAGAAGCACUGAACGGUUUGCCAAAACCUAACCCAAUCUUUCUCUCCAUGGCCACUAAACUCCUCCCCUUCACCAGUGUUCCCCUCUAUGAUUGCCUCUGCAGCUGACUUUCUGACCUCGCAAUACCUUUAAUCUCAGGAGCUCCCAUUAAAUCAACAUCCCUGAAGGCCCCCUUCUUCAGUUUGACAGCUUCCCUCAGCGCAGGUGUCUCCCAGAAGCUACGUAGGUCACCACAAUGUUUAUAUGUGUGUGUAUACUGCAUUUUUUUAUCUGUUAUUUAUUUAUUUGGUCAACAAAGGUUGGAUUUAAAGUACUUUAUAAAUAAAGUUAACAAAAUGCACAGUCUCAAGUCAGAUGACUCAACUGUAAAGUCAAUCAUUAAUCUUUGGCUUAAGGCUCCCUGAAACCAUCUACAUCUAUGGGAAAUCCAUGUUUAUGAACAUGGUGUUUGUUCUGAACGAUCCUUGGAUUGGCUAGAACUCCAAUAACCAACUGGGUUUAGAUCUGGGGGGCCAAAUCACGUCACCUCUAAGUGUCAUUCCAUCAUUCCUCAAGUGAGCAUUGAAUUCUCUCAGCAGGACCAAGCAAUACCUUUUCAAGUAGCUCUAGGAGGUCUUCUGAACUGCUGAUCAGUGCAUACACACAAAGACCCAUCAGAGUUUCCUUCUCUGCCCCUCGUGGUCAUCUGCCCCUCAUGUCCAGCGAGAAUAACCGGUCUGGCACUCACAUACCAGCACCUGCCAUGAUCUCCAGUAUCGAAGAGACUCCACCCCGUUCAUGAGGUCUGCUUCCAGACGCCACACCGUGUGUGGACGAAAAUCCAAGUAGCUAACUAACAGCACUAACCACCCCAGAAUGUUAUCACUUCACAUUCCCAAACCCAGUCUUCAUGGCCAUUGCCCUCACCUUUCACCUUGUGGGUAGUAAGACCACAAGAUGGCCUCACUUAGCCAAUUCAGGCUGAUCCUGUCUGGGUUAGAUGGGUGGCUUGGCCACCUCGUGUGGCUCGAGGCAUGCAUCCCAGUAACCGUUUUCCAGGAAGGAUACACUGACUCUUCAUUGUUUUGUCAUAUCUAUGGGCAUGUGGUCAUAACAGGCUAAACACCUAAAAAAGGUCAGUACGAGUAGGGUGCAGUACUGUAGUGAUACUAAUUGUAGUAUAUGUAGAUGAUGUAGACUCCUCUAAUUUGACCCUGUUGAAAUAUCAAAGUGGUGAGGUAACAUAUUUUCAAGCUGAAACGCCUUCAGUUUUUUUUGUGUGUGUGAUAGGUGUGAGCUCCAGCUCCUCCUCAUUAACCUUGUUCUUUCUCCUCUGUUUGUGUCUCUUUAUCCUGUUCAUUACAUUUAAAUAAUAGCGUCACGUGUGCCUAAUCAUGUGACCUUUUUAGAUUUUUUACCCAUGACUUGACAAGGACAGGUUGACUAGUUUGGCCAAAUGCAAGGUAGAUAUUCUGUAAGGUAGGUAUUCUAUAAAAUAGAUGUUCUGUAAGGUAGAUAUUCUGUAAGGUAGGUAUUCUAUAAAAUAGAUGUUCUGUAAGGUAGAUGUUUUAUAAGGUAUUCCGCAUUUCCAUACAUAUGCUUGUCAUUCACCCAUCUUCUAGCCCUUAUCCUGGUCAGGGUUACGGGAAGGCAGGCAGCACAGGGCAUACGGCUUGGGUAGCUGCUGAACAGGAUGCCAGUCUAUCACCAGGCACACAAACACUUAUACACUGUAUCUCCCACACAAUCACAAUGUACUAACAGGUGAUUCAGGGACACCAGCCGUUCUCACUGCAUGUCUUUGGACUGCAAGAGCAAAGCAGAGUUCUUGGUUUUUAUGAUUUGUUGAUUGAUGUAGUGUACUGGGUGGGAUGUUCCUGCCGGCGGAUGGAGUUGUACCCUCGAAUUAAGCACUUUAUCAAGCUUCAUAAUUGGAUGAACACGUGAGAUUUUACCAGUGUGCACAUUAGGUAAAUGUGUUUGCUAUGCAGACACCUUCUUGUUAAAAUAAAAUGCA